GAUGAACGCUGGCGGCGUGCUUAACACAUGCAAGUCGAACGAUGAAGCCCAGCUUGCUGGGUGGAUUAGUGGCGAACGGGUGAGUAACACGUGAGUAACCUGCCCUUGACUCUGGGAUAAGCCUGGGAAACUGGGUCUAAUACUGGAUAUGACUUCUCAUCGCAUGGUGGGGGGUGGAAAGAUUUAUUGGUCUUGGAUGGACUCGCGGCCUAUCAGCUUGUUGGUGAGGUAAUGGCUCACCAAGGCGACGACGGGUAGCCGGCCUGAGAGGGUGACCGGCAACACUGGGCCAGAGACAGGCCCCACACCCCCAGGGGGGGGGGCGGGGGGAAUGAUUGCAGAGGGGGCGCAGGCCGGAUGCGGCGCCGCGGGGGGGGGGAGGCGGGCUUUGGGUUUAUAACCCUUUUCCGGAGGGAAAGAAGCGGGAGGGCCGGUCCCUAAAAAAGAAGCGCCGGCUAAUUAGGGC
rnacentral:rRNA from 1 species